UCCGGAUUGUCACUCAACAGACAAUCAUAUGUAUGCGGUCAACGAAGUCCAGUUGCUAACAGAACUGCAUUUUCUGUUUUCUGUUUCUUUAGGGAAACAAAGCCCACGUCCUCAGGUAUAUUCAAGCUGCGAAGAUAAGAGCUACCAUUGACCUAGUUUGGAAAAUUCUGAUAUUUUGCUUCGCUACUGGUUCCAAUCUGGAGUUCCCAUCAGAAGAAUCAAAGGUAGGGGCGGGCGAUAGCCGGAACACUACCACAACUGGAGUUGACCUUCUGGUCGAAAUGCUUGCUCUGUCGAUGGCAUUGGCCAUCAUGUUGAUGGUGCUGCUCAUCGAAGUCUCCUACAAAUGGUUCGUCAUCUGGAGGAUUGAAGCGUAUGCGGCGAAUAUGCCGAACUAGAUUGCGCUGCCCUUGAAUAUAUUCUCCCUUUUGGUAUAGCUUUUGUAUUUCACAAAAUACCUUUUAAUGAGCCUUAUGCUUCAAAGUUCGAGUACGUUUACCUUUUAUGCUGCCUAAAUGGCUUUUGAAUAAAAUUUGCUCAAGAGA